rnacentral:snoRNA from 1 species
UUGCAUGUGUGAAUGCCUGCUCCUUAUUCCUUUAGGGGCCGGAAAACAUCUAUAACAUGCUACAUUAAAAAUUAAGGA